GUUCCUUUAAUAAUUUCCUUUAAUAAUAACUUUCCAAUACCUCGCAAAAAUACUUGGGUUAGUAAAGCUAAAUGAAUGUGACAGGGACAUUAGAAGCUCCAUGCAUUAAAGGCCUUAUUGCUUGACGAAUAAAA